AUUGUGAUUUCACAUUCUGCAGCACUACCAGUGACCACAGCUGUGUCUGUGGGGCUGUCAAAGCCCUUUGGGCCAUGCCCAGGACAAACAGGACAUGAGGGGAUCCCUUCACACGUGCACAGGGAGGAAAAUAAAGUAAUGGACCAGGGAGUAAAGGUAAACAAAAAAUCCUCUUCAGUUACACAUAUGGAACAUUCCUGACACAGAAAAAGCAUUCCACCUGCAGGAGAAAGACUGUCCAAAAGUAUCACACACAGCAAACUCAGGUGGCUGUGUCACCACUGGGGUGUGACCAGGCAGGGCCCACUGGAAGCACAGACUGUUCUGCCAGCACUAAACCAGGGGGAUAUGGGAUGCUGUCAACACACCUCAGGGUACAGAAGAUAAGACUAACGAGUCCCAAGCUUGAGGCCUUUGCAAGACAGGUAAGAAUAAGGGGAAGCAGAGCUGGUGUGCUCAUGGCCAGUCAACUAACUUCUUAUUUUAACAGAAAGAACACAGCGGAGAGUUUUAAUAAUUUGGGAAAGGUCAGCAUCCAGUCCUACCUUCACAAACCUGAGAUGUCAGCACAAAGAACCUCUGAGAACUUUGCCUGUGACUAGAGUGGACACUCCUUUUAGUGUGUUUGAGAUGUCAUGAGCAGCAAGUCAGAGCCAUAUGAAGUAGGAGUCACCCAACAGGAUGUAAUUUUUUUUUUUUAAUCGUUUCUGGAAUUAAUAUGAGCAACCAACUGUAAGAUGGAUUUCAGCUAGAAAUAUCUUUUAAAUUAGAAGCCACAACUGAGCAAAUAGAAGACUGUUUACAAACAUUGAUUAUUUAUUUACAGACACUCCUGCAAAUGGAGUCUUCUCCCUAAAAAAAUUGAGAGAAACUUAAAAGAAUAGCACAAUUUUCUGUAAUGAGCAUAUCAGACACUUUGAAGGUUAAAAUGUAUUCCAGGCUAGAAUAAAAGUAACACAUGAAGGGUCAUGGGUCAGCUAACUAGAAGACAUGUGCAUCAAUGCCACUAGUCCCAUCAUUAAGUACACACUGUAGCUAGGAAUUAAGGUAAUAGAAUUUUUAAAAAACUUCAGAUUGCUCCUCUUGAAUUUUUUUAAACAAAUCCAUACAUUUAAAAAGUCAGUUCAUUAAGAAAAGUGAGUCUUCACAUCAGGAAAGUUAAAGAUUUAAAUAGAAAAGGCCCCAGCAGGAAUAGCCCCAGUGGAUGGUUUUAAACACAGCACAGAGAAAGAGAGGGGAGAAAAAAAGCCAUUAACAGCUUUAGGGUCUUCCAGUACAUUCUCCUCUUUAAAUGCUGAAAAAUAAGCACAAGGAAAGAAACAUGGAAAAGCUCACAAAGUCUGUGCUAGUCUCAGUCAAGAAUAAGAGAGAGAUUCAAUGGAAUUCUGGAUUUUUAUGAAUAAUUUACAUCAGCCUUAGCAGAGUAUGGUUUUGUUUCUUUUUCAGAUUUAAUAGGUUUCUGACAGACAGCCUCAGGAAACCUUCUAUAAAAAAUCAGAACUUUGAUUACAUUACUGUCAA